rnacentral:rRNA from 1 species
AUGCUCUCUUCAUCAGUAGUGCGGCAGGGUGCACUCGACGCCGGGCACCUUGCCGCCCUCGUGGUCGGCGCAGUAGUCGUAGAUCCUGUACUUGUCCCGCACCCACCGCAUCUUCCCCCGCUGGUCGCCGGUGAGGACGCCGCAGGGAAGGAGUCUGUGGCAAGUUUCUCAAAAAAAAAAGAGUUUUGCUCAAAAAGAAAAAAGAAAAGAAAAAGAGAUAGUUUUGAUCCGGUGCGUCUGUUGAGUCCGACCUGGAUUCUCUUUCCGUCUGGUAGUUCCGAUUCCCACUGGAGUCGGGAUCCAGCAGCGGCUAUUUAG